UGAAAAUAAAAGCAAGAUGCCUUCGCGUGGAAAAUAUCAAAUUGCAAGUCAGGAAGAGCGUAAAAUAGCACAAAGAGAUCAAUCUUUUAGAAAUUGCGUAGCUACGCUAUUUGUGUUCUUUAUAUUAUUCUUGCUCGUUCUUAUUGCAAAUUUAUUAUGGAAAAAAACUAAUACUUCUUCAUCUUCACCUUCCUCAACUAACGUUGAUGAGAAACGCUUAAUGGGAUACCAAUAUAAUAAUGGAUAUAAAGAAUCAGAAGAAACUACAACUACAACUGGAAACACAAUCGACAUUAUUACAGGAGAAUAUAUAUCUAGUAAUGAAAAGACAUCUCAUAACUUUGAAAAAAAUACAACAAUGCAAAAAUUUUUAGAAAUGAGUACUUCAAGAACUCUAUCAGAUAUUAUAAAUACUCUGAGUAAUGAUACUAUAACAACAAAUGCACAAAAUCAAAUUAGUACAACUGUUAAUAGAAUGGAAUCUACAGAAGAGCCAAAAGUUCAUUAUAGCAAUAUUACUGAUACAACCUUAUUUGAAAAUGAAGUUUCUGAAAACGAACGAGAAAAUAGUUCUACAAUGACUUUAACAAUAAUCGCAGAAGCAACAAACGAAAGUAUUGAUAAAACUGAAUCUGAUAGCCAAGUAUCUACUAAAUACUCAACUAUUUCUACAGAUAAUGAAUUUGUUUCUAACAGUUCUUCAUUUGAUCAAAUUAAUUCUAAGGAUAAUACAAACACUAUUACAGAAAAACUAAAUAACAUAACAACUGCACCUUUUUUCUAUCUAAAUACAUCUGAACUGUCUACUAUAACAGAUAUCAAUAAAAAAAACAAUUCUUCUUUAAUAAAUAAUUCUACUAAUCAAUUCUUAUCAUCAACAACUUAUAAACCUAUUGAAUUUAUAUCAGAAUCAACAAACUUUACAAAAAUUUUACUUCCACAAGUGGAAAAUACCUUUACAAAGGAAACAGUAAUAACGAACGAAUUUGUAACAAAUACAUUUAUGACAUCAAACACAGAGUCUAUUUUUACUACAGAUAGUUAUAUUACAGAUAUUGAAAAUAAUAUAUGUAAUUCAGGACAAUGCAAACAAAUAGCUGCUAAAAUAUUAUCCUAUAUGAAUCAUUCUGCUGAUCCAUGUGAAGAUUUUUAUGAAUAUGCUUGUGGUGGAAUGAUAGCAGAUCCACAAAUCAUAGACCUAAAUUUGGCAAACAAGGCAUAUCACAGAAUAGCUGAACAAAUGUUGAAAAAUGCUGAUAGAGAUCCACCUUCUCCAUUUACUAAAUACUAUAACAGUUGUAUGAAAUAUGAAAAUAUAAAUAUAGAUGAAAGAAUAGUGAUAGUAAAUGAAGCAAUAAAUAAAAUACAAAGAUUUGAUCACGAGGAAUUUAAGAGUAAUUUCACGAAUUUGUAUGCUGAAUUAUUAAAAAGCUAUAGCCCUUUAUUAUUUGACGUGGCUGUGGAUCUUGAUGAAAACAAUCCAAGUUCAUAUACUAUCAGAGUAGGACCUGUACUUGAUAAAAAUCUAUUUGAUAGUGAAAACACAGAUGAUUUUUGCUAUGCAAGUGAAGCUGAAAUACAAAAACAAUUUGUUGAUCUUGAAGAUAUUUAUGAAGACUAUACAACAUGCAAGCAAAAUAAUACAAGAUUUGUAAGUUCUAUAACCAAUGCUUUAAAGGCACUUGGAGUUUUUAAUAAUUCUGAUAACAUGGAGCAAAAUGUGAGCAUUACAGUAUUUAAUAUUGAUAACGAAAUAGUGCAGAAAUUCUUUUCUCUAUUUCCAUCUGAGAACGAAAUUCGUAAAGCAUAUUUAAUGAAGAAUUAUACUGAAGUGUCAAUAGAUGAAUUAAAUAAAACAACUACAUUUAUAAAUUGGUAUAAUUUAACAACUUCAUUAAUAUCCAAAAAUAUAAAUGCAAAAUUCCAAGUUUAUUUUUAUGAAGAAUUAGUAAAAGGUUUACAAAAUUUAGAAGCUUUUUGGAAGAACGAACCAAUGUAUUUUCACAAUGCUAUUUUAAGUCUAUAUGCACAAAGACUUUAUCAUGAAUUAAUAAUAACAAAACAUCAAGAUAUGAAACAACAUUGCCUCAAAGUUAGUACAAAUCUAUUAAGAUCUGAAGCCUCUAAUUUGUAUAUGUCUUCACUGUCUGAUAAAGAGAUAACAUUUAUGAAUCGUACGGUAAGAAUACUCUUUGAUGAACUAAAAGAAACUCUAAAACUAGAAAUAAAAAAGAGAUCAUGGGUAACAGAUGAAGAACAUCAAGUAUUGCUGUCAAAGAUAAAUGAUCUUAAGCUUUCUAUACCGGAAGUUCCAUACUUUCAGUAUGAAGAAGAAUAUAAGUUUAAUCUAUCUGAUAAUUACUUGGAAAACUCUUUAAAUUUGAUGAGAAGAUAUAGAUUAUCAAUCUAUUCUGUAAUAUCAUUAAAGAUAAAUCCUGAUACACCAAAACAAAUGUACGUAUAUAUAGAUAUUUAUUUUACUUAUGUCAAUGAGAUUUUUUAUUUUGAUAUAUUACAUUGCAGUUGGACACACUAUGCUACACCUUUUCAAUCGAAAGGCGUUGCAGUUUAUAGUUUGAAUCUUAUUAUUAUACCUUUUGGUGCAAUUGAUUAUGGUGACGUGUUUAUAUCAAAUUAUGAAAGUUCAUUUAGUUAUUUAACAUGGGCGACAAUUGGCAAUUUAAUAGCGCGUCAGAUUUCUCAUCAUUUUGAUGCAAAUGGUAUGCACUAUUGGAAUCAAACUCGAAACACUACCUGUUCUCUGGUAAGCAAGCAUACAAUGUUUGAAGAUUAUAUAUCCUGCCAUAAAGAUAGUAUUUACAAAGAAAAGAUGAACAUGACACUGCCACUUACUUCUCAGAAAAUAUCUUUUAAGAUUUCAGAAUUAACAUUAAACGAAUAUUUCUCCGAAAUCAUGGGACUUAGAUUAACACAUGAUACUUUUGAAAGGCUACGAUCGUUUUCAAAGAAUUAUCUUCCGUGGCUAGAACCAAACAUAAAUCAAUUAUUCUACCUUACUUAUGCUCAGAUGUAUUGUACGAAAUCGUUAUUGACAACAUCUUAUAUCUCUCUUCAUGAAAAUGAAGAAUUACCUAGCCGUAUUCGUGUCUUCGUUUCUGCAUCUAACAAUAACUUACUGGGCGAAACAUGGAAUUGUUCUAAAGGAUCACAAAUUGUCCCCAGUAUUACUUGUGAUGUCUUUCCAUACCUCAAAGAAUCAGAAGAUAUCGAAAUCUCUUCCAACUGAUUAUAACACAAAGAAAAAUUAUCUUUUAAGAUAAAGUACUACUAAUAACAAUAUUUUGCAUUUAUUCUCAGGAACAAGAUUUUUUUUCAAAACACUCAUUCAUACGCUCAUAACAAUUAAAACAAUGAUGCAGCAUUAACACAUACCACUACAAGUUACAUCCAAGCGGCUCUCGUGUAGUUUGAUCACAGACUGCUUUUUAACGGUUUUCUUAUCCGUCUAAAACAGCAAGCAUCAUGUAAAAGUUGCACAGAACACACAUUACAUUAAUUAAAGUUAGUUCAAGGAUUACUAAGGAAUUAUAGUUAAUAAUUAUACUACAUACCUCAAAGUACUGAUGCCACAAAACACAGCCAUAGACGCAUAACACAGAAACUAGAGACUGACAAAGAAGCCAAAGAAGUAUGUUUAAGGCUUGUGUCCGUUCAAACAGUGCUGCACCAUGACGGAUACAAAGUAAUGCUUCCGUUACCAUAAUGGCACCAUAUACCCAACACUGAGUCCCUACUCUACUGCAUGAUGGAUCAGUUACAUACAUAUAAUAUUGCCUAUAAAUAAAAAAAAAAAAGCAGUAAUAUUUCUUUCCAUAGUUUGUAGUAAUAUACUUGAUUCUUGAUUAAAAAACAAGUAUAAAAUUAAGGCACAUGCAUGCUUCUUUUAAUGUUAAGCUAUCACGUUAAUGCAUUAAAGAAUAUAAUUUUAAUGUUUAAUGUUAAUCUAUUUAAAAAUUUUCUCACCUAACUGAUGGAGCAACGAUCACUCCAAUCAAUACCAAACGUGUUAUGACGAAUGGAUGAGAAGGUGGGAAUUCAUAUACAUGUUUCAGGAAGAAUGUAUUCAGCUCAGAAACUUGCCAGAAAAUAACUAGCUGGCAAAGAGCUACAAAUCGCAUAUGAGUGCACGUUGGAUCUAACCAUCUUACGGAAGUCCAACUACCAGGAGUAAAUUGAAGAACUGCUCUUUUUAAUUUCCCAGUAGUACUUUCUAUGUCCCUUAUACUGACCCAUUUAUACUCUCUCAUUUCCAAAAUAGAACAUAUCUUUAAUCCAACCCAAAUGCCAAGACCAUUACAUACCAAAACAUCAAGUAUAAAAGCAUCCCACCAACAUUCAAUAAAGUUCGGUAAUAAAUGCG